UACAGAGGGGGCGAGCGUUGUUCGGAAUUACUGGGCGUAAAGGGCGCGUAGGCGGCCUUCUAAGUCGAACGUGAAAUCCCCGGGCUCAACCCGGGAACUGCGUCCGAUACUGGGAGGCUUGAAUCCGGGAGAGGGAUGUGGAAUUCCAGGUGUAGCGGUGAAAUGCGUAGAUAUCAGGAGGAACACCGGUGGCGAAGGCGGGUCUCUGGGCCGUAACUGACGCUGAGGAGCGAAAGCAUGGGGAGCGAACAGG
rnacentral:rRNA from 1 species